rnacentral:rRNA from 1 species
AAACGGGAUGAGCCCAGCGCUGAAGGCUUCCAUCUGUUUGGAUGGCGGCCGGUGUAGCGUAUAGAGACGGCGUUUGCGUGCAUGCGACUGGUCUAAGUUUUGCUGGAAAGCAAUAGCAUAGACGGUUUAACUCCGGUAUGGCCGGUUGCAGUGCGUAAGUGUCGGCUUUUGGAGUCGGGUUGUUUGGAAUCGCAGCCCAAAGCUGGUGGUAAACUUCACCUAAGGCUAAAUAUGACCGUGAGACCGAUAGAAAACAAGUACCGUGAGGGAAAGUUGAAAAGUACUUUGAAAAGAGAGUGCAAGAGAACGUGAAACCGGUAUAAUGGAAGCAUAUGGAGUUGACGUAUCUAGUGCGUAUUCAGUUGGCGGGCAUUUCAAUUGCCGGGUUUUGGCGUUCCGCAAGGUCGCCGGUUCGGUAUUGUUGGCGUGUUCGUCGAUGCAAUUGCGUACGGAGUGCGCCGAGUCGUGCGGUGACGUCGGUCGAGGGCGCUUAAGAGGCCAUGAUUUUCGGAUUGUGAAACCUUGGGUGUUUGAGGCCGAUUGGUGCCGCAUGUCGUUGUGGAUGCAUGGGCCUACGCUCAUCGGUGCGUUGUCUGUUCGAACUUGUUGCUGCACGCAUGCGUGCGGUGCUUGUUUGGCUGGCGGUGCGCUCGAUGUGAUCUAUGCUCUUCUCGGUGUAUAGUCAAUGACCCAUUUGACCCGUCUUGAAACACGGACCAAGGAGUUUAUGGUUUACGCGAGUCAUUGGGCUUACGAAACUCAAAGGCGCAAUGAAAGUGAGACCUUACUGGUUUGAGUGUGAUCGGUUGUUGUUUCGACGGCGGCCGAGCAACACUGCCCCGUUUCGAGGACUUGUCCUGUUGCGGAGGUUGAGCGUAAGCUAUGAGACCCGAAAGAUGGUGAACUAUGCCUGAACAGGAUGAAGCCAGAGGAAACUCUGGUGGAAGUCCGAAGCGGUUCUGACGUGCAAAUCGAUCGUCUGAUUUUGGUAUAGGGGCGCAAGACUAAUCGAACCAUCUGGUAGCUGGUUUCCUCCGAAGUUUCCCUCAGGAUAGCUGGAGCACAUUUCGCACAGAUAUACUCGGUAAAGCGAACGAUUAGAGUUCUUGGGAUGUCUUAUUCUCAAACUAUUCUCAAACUCUAAAUGGUUAUGAUGUUGGUGUUGCUUAAUUUGAACACUGGCUUGGAUUGUUGUGCUCCAAGUGGGCCAUUUUUGGUAAGCAGAACUGGCGAUGUGGGAUGAACCAAACGCGAAGUUACGGUGCCAAACUAUUCGCUCAUGAGACCCCAUGAAAGGUGUUGGUUGAUAUUGACAGCAGGACGGUGGCCAUGGAAGUCGGAAUCCGCUAAGGAGUGUGUAACAACUCACCUGCCGAAUCAACUAGCCCUGAAAAUGGAUGGCGCUCGAGCGAGUGACCUAUACUUUGCCGUCGUUGGGAAUUUCAACAAAAUCCCUCGACGAGUAGGAGGUACGUUGCGAUGGCGUUGAAUGUGCGGAGCGUGAGCUCGACUGGAGCCGUCGUGAGU